rnacentral:misc_RNA from 1 species
AUUUGAGGAUUUUCUUCUAAUAACUAGGUCUUGGUGUUUUGCCACAGGUGGUGGCUUUCCAGUUUCCUCUGCACCUUCGGGAAGAGGAAGACCGCCUCCUCCUCUUUCAAUCAGUAGGUUUCUCUCUGAGGGUUGUAAAUUGUUUUUAAUGAAAAGGGGCAGCAAGUGGUGAGUAGUGAGGGUUCUAUACGUUGCCCUUGUGUUGUGGUCCUGUGUUUUUUUUAUUGCAUGUAUAUGCUUUUGUCUAGGUUUGUUCCUUGGAGUUGUUGUUGUAGAUCUAUGACAUGCAAGGGCAGAUUUUGUGUAAAUCUACUCAAUUUGUGAGGUCUAGAGCUUUCAUCGCUCUUUACAUUGGUGUGAUUUCGUCUCUCUGAUUUAGCAUAAAACUCAUCGUUUAGUAUGAUAACUAGUGGUGUGUGAUAGAGCAGAUCGACUUGACACUAAAGAGGUCUAUCGAUUGACUUGACGCUAAAGAGGUCUAUCGCUGAUGUUCCUUGCUUGCUGUAGUGCAGAUGCAAAGCUUAUAAGGAGCUUGGCUCCGGAGCUUAGGGUUCUAUAGAAGAUUGUGUUAGCAGAUCUCCUUUGAUUUUCAAUGGGUUUUUAUGUCAUUUUUAGCAUUAAGAAUUGGGAUAUUUGCCUUUUAUCUUCGCUAAAGUGGCUCAAGUGUCUUCUUAAGCGACCGAGAGUGGAUGGAACGGUGACAAGCUAAAAGCUGCUUCUCCUUUUUCUUGAGUUGUUUCGGGUAAUUAGACCCAUUUACAGAUUAGAGUUCCAUGUGUUUUUGGGCCUAACAUUUGAUAGGCUUAAUUUGAGAAAUUUGUUUGUUGCACCUUUUUGUGGUUGGCCCAAACCUUUUAAAUCUAUGAAAUAUCAUCUACCUUUUACGUCCAUAGUAUUACCGUCACUCAGUAACAAAAAAUUUUUACAGGUGUUUGAGAGGUCGGGCUCCCCUUGUCACCCCUCCAUCCCUCCGCCACUGCUCCCAUAGAAAACAAAUCAAAAUCUGUGCUAACUGCUAAGCCUAGAAUUUAUUCUACGCUCGACAAAGCCUAAAAUUUAGUCGACGCUCGACGGCCCAUCAGAUUCGUGAAAAUCCCCAAUUCUUCUCAUCUAUCUCUCUUUCUUUUUUUAUCUGCUAUAUUUUGCGACUAAAAUGGUUUACAUAACUUCGUGGGACGAGUUCGUUGAGCGAUCGGCACAGUUGUUCCGCGCGGACCCUGAUUCUACGCGGUAUGUCAUGAAGUACCGACAUUGCGACGGCAAGCUGGUUCUCAAGGUCACUGACAACAAAGAGUGUCUGAAGUUCAAGACGGACCAGGCACAGGAUGCUAAGAAGAUGGAGAAGCUGAAUAACAUUUUCUUCACUUUGAUGUCUCGGGGCCCUGAUGGUAUGGUCAAUUUUUAAAUAGGUUGCAUUUGUAUUUACUGUCAUUGAAAUUCUCUGCGGAGGAAGGUUAAAGAAACUAUUGGAUCCUGACAUACAAGUUGUUCUAACUGGUUAUCCCUUUUCAUAAUCUUCUUUCAUAUGAUCCAGCGGAUGUGUCGGAAGUUGCAGGGAAAGAACAGACAGAAGCACAACCAGGGAAGAAAGGAAGGGGAAGGAAACAAUAGCUUUGUUGGCUGCUAGACAAGGAGAAUUGGGACAUAUCUUACGUGACUUGUGGAUGAAUUAAAUGAAUUUUUGGAAUGCUCUUAGACUCCGUGUGGAGUGGAGGAUCCAUACUAGUGCCAUUUUUAGGGAUUACCUUUGAAAAAAUGUGGGAUAUUCUUUAUAUAUAUAUAUAUAUAUGUGCAUUGUAUAUGAACUAUGAACAUUGUAAGAAUUGAAAAAUUAAAGGAAGUGAUGCUGGAAAGGCAUUUGAUUGCAA